CGGGGGAGGCCAGAUCCUGGGCUGUGUCCCGGCGCCCUGUGCUCCGGGGCCUGCGCUGUUGGAUUCGCACUGCCGCCCGGCAGCCCCCU
rnacentral:pre_miRNA from 1 species